rnacentral:rRNA from 1 species
GACGAACGCUGGCGGCGUGCUUAACACAUGCAAGUCGAACGGAAAGGCCCUGCUUUUGUGGGGUGCUCGAGUGGCGAACGGGUGAGUAACACGUGAGUAACCUGCCCUUGACUUUGGGAUAACUUCAGGAAACUGGGGCUAAUACCGGAUAGGAGCUCCUGCUGCAUGGUGGGGGUUGGAAAGUUUCGGCGGUUGGGGAUGGACUCGCGGCUUAUCAGCGUGUUGGUGGGGUAGUGGCUUACCAAGGCUUUGACGGGUAGCCGGCCUGAGAGGGUGACCGGCCACCUUGGGACUGAGAGAGGGCGCAGACGGCUACGGGGGGCAGCAGUGGGGAAUAUGGCGCAGCGGGGGGAAGCCUGAGGCAGCAACGCCGCGUGCGGAAUGACGGCCUUCGGGUUGUAAACCGCUUACGCCUGUGACGAAGCGUGAGUGACGGUAAUGGGUAAAGAAGCACCGGCUAACUACGUG